AACGCGAAGAACCUUACCUGGGCUCGAAAUGGAGUGGACCGGAGUAGAAAUAUUCCUUCCCCGCAAGGGGCCGCUUUAUAGGUGCUGCAUGGCUGUCGUCAGCUCGUGUCGUGAGAUGUUGGGUUAAGUCCCGCAACGAGCGCAACCCUUACUUCCAGUUGCCAUCAUUCAGUUGGGCACUCUGGCAGAACCGCCUCGGAUAACGGGGAGGAAGGUGGGGAUGACGUCAAGUCCUCAUGGCCUUUAUGUCCAGGGCUACACACGUGCUACAAUGGCCGGUACAAACCGUCGCAAACCCGUGAGGGGGAGCUAAUCGGAAAAAGCCGGCCUCAGUUCGGAUCGUAGUCUGCAACUCGACUACGUGAAGCUGGAAUCGCUAGUAAUCGCGGAUCAGAAUGCCGCGGUGAAUACGUUCCCGGGCCUUGUACACACCGCGAGC
rnacentral:rRNA from 1 species